CCGCUCCUCCACGCGGCUUCCUGGGCCCUGACUCCCACACCUGCCCCGCACAGCCCCCGCCUGGAACAGCAGAGCCAAACCGGACAAGCCGAGGGGACCACGAGGGGACCACGUGCAGUCACUCCCCCGGAGGGGCUCAGAGCUGCGGGAGGCCAGGCAGUGACCGCAGCCCGAGAAGGGCUGAGAUGGACAGCGGAGGCGAGCACUGACCCCAGGCCCAGGCCGCGGGAGGCUGCCGGCCACUUCCCCGGGACGCCCCUCCCCAGGCGCAGGCUCGGCGGGGCGGGCUCCCGCCUCCCGGGGUGCCAGGUGGGCUCGCCCCACCCAGGGCCCCGAGGAGGGCACCGCACCUGCGCCGGCCCUCAGGCAGGCCCUGGUCCAGUCGGUGGUCAGCAGGACCUGGCUGGGCGCCGGGCGAGAGGCGGCCGCACGCCGGCCUGGGCUCUGGGGGACCCGGCCCGGCCGGCCCCGUGCAGCGGCGCUGGGCCCCGCACGCGAGCGUGGGCGCCCACCCUGGGCCAAGGGACCGCGCCCCCGCACCACGCGCCCCCGCGCGCCAGUGCCCACUCGCUCCCGGCGUGCUUGCGCGCGCUCACGUGUGUCCGCACGCACGCGCGCGCGGUCUCGCGACCAGGCCAGCCGCGGGACCCAGGGCCGGCCCGCCACCACCCCUCAGGCUCCUUGUCCGGGUCCCCGCGGGCGCCGUCCGGCCGGCUGCGGGGGUCGCGCAGUCCCCACGCCCGGCCCAGGCCGUCGCUCCACGGGGAGCGAACGCGCGGCGAGCUCGCGGUCGCGGCGUUUGGGCCUCGCCGGCCGCCGUCCGCCCGCUUCCGGCCGCGGGACACGCCGGGACGCGUAGUCCGCGGGGCCUGGGCAGCGCCCAGGGUCACGGACCCGGCCGGGCUGGGCGCUCCCAGCGGCGGGGUGGGCGUCCCGUGCUGUGUGGGUGCCGGGCGCCGGUCCCCGCACCGCCCCUCGGGCUGGGGGCGCACGGACGCACCCGAGAGCCGCGGAGUGGGUGAGAUGCUGCGGCGGGGUUCGCGGCGGGAGGCCCGGGGCGUGGCCCGAGGGGCGUGGCCCGAGGGGCGGGAGGGCGUGGCCCGAGGGGCGGAAGGGCGUGGCUCUAGGGGGCGGGGCUGGAGGGCGUGUCCCGAGGGGGCGGGUCUGAGUCGCAGGGCAAGUGAAGGCUGUGGAGGUCUCGAGUGGGCGUGGCGUGAUGGGGGCGUGGUCCAAUGGGGCGGGGCGGGGGCUGGGCAGGUGGCCGCAGGGGUGGUCCCGGGAUGGGGCCUCGAGUGGGCGUGGUGCGGCGGGGGCGUGGUCCCGUUGGGGGCGUGGCAGGGGCGAGGCCGCGCCGGUGGCGGGGCGGGGUCCUGGGCAGGUGGCCUCCGCCCAGGUCUGGGAGCGCCCACCUGUUGGGGUGACCCGGAUGGCUGCCCUGAGUGUCGCGCCUCCCCCUGGACGCUGGGGCCCUCCGGGGCGCAGACUCGUCUGGCUCCACGCUGCCCCACUGUGUGGGCAGUGGCCGCGCGGACUUGGACGCCACCUUCCGAGGAAGGGCUCCGAGUCCCGGUCCCCGUGUCUGCAGCGCGUGGGACUCCUGUGGCUGGGCAGGCCUCGCUGGACAGCGCAGGGAGUAGACGUGGCUGUGGGCCCGGCCGGUGCCGCUCCUCCCCUCCCCAUCCUGCCGGCCCAGCUGGCCCCAGGUCACCUGUCCCUGGCUCACCUCCCUGCUGCUGUCCCCCGGUGUUUCCUGGCAGGACUGUGAGAGGCUGGUACACCUGGGAGACUUCCUGGAGGAGGUGGCGCUUUAGGUGCCAUUUCCGUCGUCACCGUUUUCUGCAAAUUCCCUCUAAGUCCGCCAUCCUCCGGGAGCUGUGGAGUAAUCGCUGCCGAAGUGGGAGGGGCGGUGGGCUCAGCCGCGGCUUGGAAUCCGCGCGGCGCCCGGCUGCCCCGCACCUGCGUGUGGCCGCGUGGCCGCCCCAUCGCGCGUCUCCGCCUCCUCCCCUGCUCCCCUGACGCCCGUGGUUUUCAGUGGGCAGAUCCGACGCCUCCCUUGGGCUUAUUCCCCGGGGUGAAGAGGAAGUCUCGGUGAGGUCCUGGAUUUCAGAACUGGCCGUGAUUUGAGACUUAGCGAGCGGUUACCGGAGGAACGGGAGACGCGUAGACACUGUACCCGGUUUCCGAACGCCGGCGUCCGUGUCCUCUCUGUGCCUUUGCUCUUUGGGCUUCCUCUGAGGCCUUCGGCGGCGAGCGACACGCGCGGUGCCGCCCCAGCCCCAGCGCACGGCCCGAGCCAGGGCACGUGACACGGGGCGCGGGGGGGGGGGGUGCUGUUGCCGGAGAAGCACCUCACUGCUGUCGCUGGCUCAGCGCUCGGGAGCUGGGCGGCUUCUUUUCUCCUGCCAGCGCGCGGCUCCAGGUUGCUGGGGGUUUUUGGGGAUUUUGCCUUUUCAGCCCCCUCCGGGGCAAAAACCCCGCAGCGGAGCUCCUCUCCCCCCGCCCCUGGGGGUCCCGGCCCCCCCCCCCCCCCCCGGGGUCUUCUCAGCGAGUCCCCGGGCACAGGCGCCCCCUGCGGUCAGUUCUGUCUGCACUGGUGACUGGCCCGCGUCUGGGGGAGGCACUUGGACAGGAGGCCGGCCUGCUGUCCCCGGUGUGCCCACUCCCGCCCACGCCCUCCUACCCGAGCUUGCCAUUAAGCCCUCCCUCCGCCCGGCACUGAGGGCUGGCGUGCCCUCCCUUCCUUCUCCUAGGUAUUUGCGUGCGCCAAUGGGUUUCUAUUUUAUUCGGAAGGUGUGGUUCUUGCUACCAUGCCUGCUUUUGUGUUCAGAUCGCUCCAGCCUUGCCCGGGGAGCCCUCUCUCGCUCUGCUUCCUGGGGACGCGUGCCCGCCCCAUCCAAGCCCUGGCAAGAUGCCCCAGGCGGAGCUGUCACUCUGCCACAGGCAGCCCGGAACCAGCGUUUCUCCAGGUGCCUUCGUUGCUCUGAGUUCUUUCUGGCGAAGAAUGAUAUUUAGGAGG
ensembl:lncRNA